UACAGAGGGUGCAAGCGUUACUCGGAAUCACUGGGCGUAAAGCGCGCGUAGGUGGUGGGUUAAGUCGGCUGUGAAAGCCCCGGGCUCAACCUGGGAACUGCAUCCAAAACCGGCCGACUAGAGUACAGUAGAGGGUGGUGGAAUUUCCUGUGUAGCGGUGAAAUGCGUAGAUACAGGAAGGAACACCAGUGGCGAAGGCGACCACCUGGACUGAUACUGACACUGAGGUGCGCAAGCUUGGGGAGCAAACAGG
rnacentral:misc_RNA from 1 species